rnacentral:lncRNA from 1 species
CCUGAUCACAGUUGCACAGAGGAAGUCUUCUCCUAACUCUGCACUACUUACUUUAUAUUAAGCCAACUGCCUGGUAAAGCAUUUACAUAGCAACAACAGAGGCUGAUACCACACAAGGAUAUGUUGCAGCUAUCAUAACUUAGCUGUGUUUCUUACCUAGCUGAAAAGCAGCCAUCUUGCAUGCUUGUUUACACAUAGAGGCAACUAUCUACCUGUCAGAAAGAGCCGAAGUAAGAAGAUACUUGCUUUUUCCUCUCCAUAUUUUUCAUUUCUCAAGACUAUCUCUGUUUUGCAGAGAUAGCAAAACUCUGCCCACCAACAAGAUGGCUGCCACUCUGUGGUAAAGUUGCAGUUACCAACAUGGCUGCUGCCCUCCAGGACAGCAGCUCAACUCACUUCACCCAACCACAGAGCUGGUGGCUCUUGUCAGUGGGCACAGCUUCUUUCUCCCUGCACUGCACACGCAGGAGGUGCUGUAUGGAACUGUGUGCACCUCAGGGAAGGUGUGUGGGAGACAUGAGGGAGCUAAGGGAGGGAUUGCUGUAAGUUAUGUGAAACUGGGGACUGGAGAGAUUGCAUUUCACACUGUUACGAAGCCCAGUGCUGAAUGGUGGCCAGCUGCUAACUGAAGAGAUGGUUGAUGAGCUCACUACAGCUGCCAUCACAUUUGAAGUAAUUUUAUUUAAUCAGUAAAAUACCAAAGGUAAUGUAAAUAGCUGUAUCCUGGCCAAACUUACAUCCAUCAGUGAAGUAAUAGCAAUAGCAAAUACAUUGCUUGCUUCUCCCCACCCCGAUAGGUGUACAGCAUGGGCAGACUGCUGUCAGGAGCAGCUGGUAACAGCCACCAGCGUGUUAUGCAUCUGGGCAGCACAGAACAGCAGCGCUGAUAGUAGCUUCGGUUUCCUCGUGCUGGCAUUUCUAAGGAUAACUGUUUGUGGAGACAAGAGCUGCAACUCUAGCCUGGGGAAAAAUAUUCAAUUUUCCCAAGACUGCUUUUCAGUUGAAAAGGAGAGCAAGGGAGAAAAAUCCUUCUUGGGAGGAAGCAGAGGAGGGUUGGAGAAAUCUGCUGCAGACAGAAGGCAGAGGGAAAGUGUAUGUGUCCACAUACAAUAUUUAAGGCUGGCACUGAAGUUAAUUAAUGGCCUUCCAUAUAACAGGAAGUUGGAGGCAAGUUGA